GAUUGCAGGCCACUUUAAGAAGACUAAAACCUUGUGACAGAAGGCCAAAGGGAUGACCCUUUCAACCAUUGCAAGAGAGUUUAUUUGGGGAAGCUCAGCUGACUCAGCCGUUUGACCAGCUGCUGUAUCAAACCACACAGGAGUAUGAUGACGUUGGUGGUCGCCAGAGGGCUUUGAGACAUCUGAAAAACAUGGAAUUCAUUAUCAGAUGGAGAUCAGGGGGCCAGGACACUCUACACGACCUAUGCAGAAGCUGUUGAACCUGAUGCCUCCGCAGCCUGGAGAGCUACGUUUUACUGCUGAAGUCUCUGGGACUCUAAAAUGACUCCGCAGAGAAUUGCAAGAUAAAAUCCAGGAAAAGCAGAAUUUGGUGAAGUGAGAAAAGGGUGAGAUGGAUGAGGAGCACUGCACCACGCUCUGGGGACAGACAUGUUCUUUUGUUUACAGAAAUCCGGUUUUGCAACAAUAGAACUACAAAUCACAGAGCUGAAAAAUGGUUUUGGAAUCCAUUUGGAGAUCUGGAAAUGGAUCCACGUGACCUCUUCAUUUUGGAGUAACCUUGUUACAGAGAUUUCAGAGUGGGAGAGGAGGUUGAGCUUUUGCACAUCUAUUGGAGCAAAUUGCACAAAAUAAAGCACAAUCAAUAUAUACCCUACCUAUGGCUGAAUGGCAUUCAAAGAAGACCUUGAACAGAUUUAGCUUUUAGAAAGUGUCCUAAAUUCACAUAAAG
ensembl:lncRNA